rnacentral:rRNA from 1 species
GAUGAACGCUGGCGGCGUGCCUAAUACAUGCAAGUCGAGCGAACAGACGAGGAGCUUGCUCCUCUGACGUUAGCGGCGGACGGGUGAGUAACACGUGGAUAACCUACCUAUAAGACUGGGAUAACUUCGGGAAACCGGAGCUAAUACCGGAUAAUAUAUUGAACCGCAUGGUUCAAUAGUGAAAGACGGUUUUGCUGUCACUUAUAGAUGGAUCCGCGCCGCAUUAGCUAGUUGGUAAGGUAACGGCUUACCAAGGCAACGAUGCGUAGCCGACCUGAGAGGGUGAUCGGCCACACUGGAACUGAGACACGGUCCAGACUCCUACGGGAGGCAGCAGUAGGGAAUCUUCCGCAAUGGGCGAAAGCUUGACGGAGCAACGCAGCGUGAGUGAUGAAGGUCUUCGGAUCGUAAAACUCUGUUAUUAGGGAAGAACAAAUGUGUAAGUAACUAUGCACGUCUGGACGGUACCUAAUCAGAAAGCCACGGCUAACUACGU